AUCCAUCUAACGAGUCCCGAAUAGAACGAAACACUCGUCCUGGAU
rnacentral:hammerhead_ribozyme from 1 species